AGGAAGCUUUAUUUUUAGAAAGUUAAAUCUCUUUCUCGAUGAGCUAAAUAACCAUAGAAGAAAGUUGGUCCAAGAAAACUCUUUUAACCAAAGCCUCAUAGUCCCUGGCCAUCAUGUGGUUUUUGUAUUUUUUUGUAUUCUUUGAAUGUGUAUGUGUGAAAUGUUACCUAGUUGGUAGUUAAAAAGUUCCAAGCCCUCCCCCCACAUUCUCAUCUUGAAGUUUAGUUCUAUUUAAGCACAGAAAACUUCUUUUACUUUCCCUUAUCUCUGAGCUUAUUUACCAUCACCCUGGAAAGUUCAUAAAUUUUUACUGCCAAGAAAAAUUUUUGAUUGAGUUAUUCUAAGUGACUCAAAUGUUUACAACUUUCCCAACCUUGACUAAAUAUACAAAGCCCAAACUGUCUUUUUCUAAUUCACAAUUUCAGAAAAAGCUCUCCUAAUUGAAAGGGUCAGGAUGAGUUAAGGGGGACCUGAUGAGCCCCUCCCAAGAGCAAGAGGACAGCAUUCACAGGUUCUCCACUCAAUCUGCCUUCUCGGAAUCAGGCACUCUGAGCUAUGCCUUCCACCACCUCUCUUCACUCUCUAUGACCCUCCCAAGUCUUUACCAUCAAAGUCUAUCAAUUCUAAGUCCAAGUCUCUCAAUAUCCUCCAAAGUAACUGAUUAGCCAUUUAAUACAUCAAUUUAAUUAUUAGGAAGAAGGGUUAGGCCAAGGCUUCUUUGCAGGGGAAUUCCCAGAAAGGUAAUGGCCUAAAUAAA
rnacentral:lncRNA from 1 species